CAGAAAUUAUGAUCUGUUGGAUUCUUUCUUUGGCUCAUGUUAAAGUUCUUAACAUGGAUUCUCCUUUAAUUUAAUUUGGAGUUCUGUAAUAUGUUCACGAGAUUGAACUUAGUUUUAUGUGUCUGAAGUUGUCUUUUUCUUCAUUUUGUCAAUUGAGCAGUAGCUAGCCGGGAAAAUAUGGCAGCCAUUAGCAAGUAUAUGGGCUUGAGCAGUGUUAAAUCGGGUCCUAAUCAUGCCCGUGGGUUGUGUUUAUAAUUAUGGCCCCUCAGACGGAUUCCUGGACCUGCCUGAGGGAGAUGAUCAGACCACUGAUCAGGAAGCGGGUGAGAAUGAAGCUGCUUCAUGGUUGCUACUUAACCCAGGUGCAGCCGUUCAGGUAAUCAGUUCUGCGAGCCGUUGUAUAACCAGCAGCAGGAAUUCAGUGUGGAGAUGACAGUUAAGUGUAGGGAACCAAAAUAUCACCAAAUACAGUACCAGAACUUGCUAAAUGCUGUGAAGGAUUCGAUUGUUCAGGGGUAAACUUGUUGGGCAGUAUGUUGCAGCUGAUGACGCUGGACCUCUGAUGUCAACAAUGCAGGUUGUAUUGCUUCUUGUGUUAUCUGGUGCAUUUCUUAGAGCCAAUCAAAUUUGUUUCUCCUGCGAUGCCACCCGAUACUGUGAGAACUGUGGCUGUUCUGUGUGGACAUGCAAUUGCUCAGAGUUCUUCAGCAAUCCUCGGCCAUAGUUAUUUGAGUGGGCUCGGUACGAGGAGGAUGACACUCAUUCAAAGAGAGGUGUUCUCCUGCUAUAUAGAGCAAGGUGGGCAACGGAUAGGAGAAUGCGUUUGUUGUCUAGUAAUGUUAUGUUUUAUGUUUUUCUUAUGUGUUGGAUAUGACGUUGGAUGCUACUUGGAGAAUAUAUAUGGUUGUUGGA